rnacentral:rRNA from 1 species
UACGUAGGGUGCAAGCGUUACUCGGAAUUACUGGGCGUAAAGCGUGCGCAGGCGGUUAUGCAAGACAGAUGUGAAAUCCCCGGGCUCAACCUGGGAACUGCAUUUGUGACUGCAUAGCUAGAGUACGGUAGAGGGGGAUGGAAUUCCGCGUGUAGCAGUGAAAUGCGUAGAUAUGCGGAGGAACACCGAUGGCGAAGGCAAUCCCCUGGACCUGUACUGACGCUCAGGCACGAAAGCGUGGGGAGCAAACAGG